CCUACGGGAGGCAGCAGUGAGGAAUAUUGGUCAAUGGCCGGAAGGCUGAACCAGCCAAGCCGCGUGAAGGACGAAGGUGCCAAGCAUUGUAAACUUCUUUUGUCAAGGGACAAAAUCAGGCUCGAGAGCCUGACCGAGGGUACUUGAAGAAAAAGCAUCGGCUAACUCCGUGCCAGCAGCCGCGGUAAUACGGAGGAUGCGAGCGUUAUCCGGAUUUAUUGGGUUUAAAGGGUGCGUAGGCGGGCUGUUAAGUCAGCGGUAAAAGCCCGGGGCUCAACCCCGGCGAGCCGUUGAAACUGGCUGUCGUGAGAAGUCGAGAGGUAUGCGGAAUGCGCAGUGUAGCGGUGAAAUGCUUAGAUAUUGCGCAGAACUCCGAUUGCGAAGGCAGCAUACCGGCGGCGAUCUGACGCUGAGGCACGAAAGCGUGGGUAUCGAACAGGAUUAGAUACCCGGGUAGUC
rnacentral:rRNA from 1 species